AUUGUUUUUGUUGGUCUUUAUUCUUCCCUUCUUCUCUUGUUCUCUCCUCUUGUGAUUUUAUCACUAUCUUUAGUGCUGUAUUUGAGUUGAUUUUUCUUAUUUGUUUGUGUAUCAAUUGUAGAUUUUUGGUUUGCAGUUAUUCUGGAGUUUUGAUAUAAGAAUCUAUAUGUAUAUGAGAUUGUUUUAGGUUGUUGUUGUCUUAAUUGCAAGUGCGUCACCAGUGUCCUGCAUUUGUACCCAUCUCUUCUCAUGAUUUCUGAUUUUGGUGGUAUAAUUGUGCAUGGAUGAUUUCAUAUCUUUACUAUAUAUAUAUACCUUUACUGGUGAGCCUUGUCAUUUGUGGAAAGGACAGGAGAUACAAAUACAGGUGUAGGGUAGCCAGGAAGGACUCUGAGGUGUUGAAUUUAUUUGAAUUGAAGGUUAUCAGGGUACAGCCAUGAUUUAGAAAAAUGUACCUCCCUGCCUCCACUGGAAGGGAAGAGUAGUCAUGAUGGCCCAGAAGCAAUGAGUGCAUUUAGUCCCCAGAUUUUGGUAUCUAAGAACAAGUCUCCAUUAAAACAGGGAUUCUGUGGCAAAAUGGCUGGUCUUUGUCUGGAGCAGGUAAAGGCCAAGGUGAGCCUGGCAGUGCUCCCGGGCCAGUGGUGAUUUAUAGAAGAUUCUUGGCUCCCACGUGGCCCCACCACGAAUGAACCCAGCUCCUCCAAUGCCAAAGCUGGCCAUUCUUUUCUCGUCACCAUGACGUCCUCCACGUGAAAUAUGUGCUCCACUGUACAGACUCUGCAUCUUGGUGUUGCUUUGUAAUUUCAGAAUUUUGUCCCGGUCACCAAUGCAGUGUCCCCCCCAUCUGUUUUCUUCUCCUUUAUGAUAAAUCGGGGUUUUGAAAAGCCAGUCCCAGGCUGCCAGAGGAUCCAGGCUCAGGCUCUGAACUGCUUCCAUGUUGUAAAGCCUGCAGUGCUUUCCUGUGAAAAUGCUGUAUGAAUUCCAGACUGACACGGGUCCACAGCUGACUUGGGGACAUAUGUCCUUUUGCAGUCUAUCCUUCCUGGCCCAAGUGGUCACUCCCCUGUUCUUCUCCUGGGGGAGGAGUGGACAGAGAGAGAGGGCAGGGGCUGAGAGGAGCAAAAGCAGGAGGAAUGGAAAUUUUCCCAUCUUCUUUUUAUUUUAUUAUUAUUACUAUUUGCUUUUUAGGGCACACCUGCAUCACAUGGAGGUUCCCAGACUAGGGGUCAAAUCAGAGCUACAGCUGCCAGCCACAGCCACAGCCACGCAGGAUCCAAGCCGAAUCUGUGGCCUACACCACAGCUCAUGACAACGCUGGAUCCUUAACCCACUGAGUGAGGCCAUGGACUGAACUUGUGACAUCAUGGUUACUAAUCAGAUUCAGGAAAUACACUUUUUUCAAUGAAUACUGAAACUUUCAUAGAAAAGCUUUCGGCGGUACACAUUAAACUGUAUUCCUGAUUGUGUAUCAGGUUUUUAUCAAGUGCAGGGAGCCCAGAUCUUCCAGGAUGGUCUCAGGGGGCUCUUUCCUCAUAAAACAAAGGGAUGUUGGGCCCUUUCCUAGUCCAGGGCUGGGCAGGCAUCACACUUUAUCACGGGACAAUUAACUUCCAAACAUCAGGCAGGGGAUCCUCCCGCCUCUGGGGCUCCCUCACCUCCAUCCAAUGCCCCUGACUUCACAGCCAUUAUCAAGCCCUGUAAACACACAGGGCCCUCCCUGCUCCCUGGGGUUCAAGGCACCACCUCCAGCUUUAAUCUCUAGGCAGCCCUGAUUUAGGCUCACAAAUGCCAAAUUGAAAGCCCCCUCACUGCCAAGAAGCAUCUCGCCAGUAGUCCCCAAUUUCCCAGGAACCAGGCAAACAGCCCUGCCUUACUUGGAAGUGAAAUAAGGCCAUUGACUUUCUCCCGCUCCUUUCGGGUCCUCGGGGUCACUGAGCAGCCAGAUCCACACUGAGAACUGCUGUUCCCUUGCCCCAGAGGGCCUGGAAGGGAUCCCAAAAGCAGUUUCCCAUCCAGGGUGGAGGCUGAGAAAGCCCUGCAGAAAUGACGCCCGCGGCUGCUCCAAGUCCUCCAGCUGGCGCUUCUCAAGUGUGAGAAACACACGGGCCCUUUUCAACAGGGAGAUCUCGGAGAAUCCAGCUCAAAGGCACCUCUUGGAACAGCAAAAACCUAUUACCCAUGCACCGUCCUUGCAGGGGAGCGCUGCCCAGUGUCCCUUGGGCACAACUGGUGUCACUGGGAACGCGCCUGCAGCCCUGGCACCUGGGGAUGGACCUCAUCCUUCCUUUUAAAAUUCUUCUUUGAGGAGUUAAAGGGUUCACACUCAAACCUUCUCACUCUGCCUCGCGGCUCUGCUCCUGGGUUUAAGGGCAUCUGGUAGUCUCACCACCACCCCCCCCCGAAUACGAGGGGUUCCCUGGGUAUUUCAGAGAAGGGGGUGCAGUCAUGGGUGCAAUGCCACGAAGCCAGGCCACAAGCAUUGCUGUGUCGGAGAUCAAAGAGCCAGGGCAGGUGGCCAAGAGAGUCCUGGGGCGCCCCGGGGGCAGCAGGCAAAGCCGAGGUUUGCCUCCACUUCAUCAACAUCACAACACCGCAUGGCGCAGGACACAGUCAGGCCACCCCACCCCCUCUUAGGCCCCCAAGUGAAAGAACAAAGCCCAUCCCCUCCCUCGCUGAGCCUGGAGACACAGGUCAGACCCGCGCUGCUGUAAGAGCAUCUGGAAGCAGAUACAAAGGUGAUGAGUUCGCUACAUGCUUAUAACCGAAAGUGACCCUUCUUGAGAUGUCACCAGGGUAGGUGUGACCCAGCUGGAGUAAGAGAUUCGAGGUUGCAUAGUUGGGGGGGUGGUGAUUGGAAAACUCAAACCAUUUUACACUUGUGCUGAGGACUGAAAUGCCGUGAUCAUGGCCUGAAGGAUGGAUGGAGCUCACGGGGUCGGGGGGUGGGGUUGAACAGACUCGCCUGGGCCCAACCGUGGUCCAAACUGCACACGUGGUCACAUGCAUGGCCCUCUUUACAUGGGUCUUUUGCAUUGAUGGGUGGUCACUGUUGGGCAUAGUCUUGACGGAGGAGGGCCCAGUCAUCAGCCAAGCGACUGCUGAGCGCAUCUCAUGGUCUGAUGGCCAGAAUCAAACGUCGUGUCUUCACUGAACAUGGUCUCCACAUGGAACACUGGCCUGUCUAGAGGACUUCCUAGAAUCAGACUGUGGUUCCCUUAUUCAAAUGUAAUUGUGUACCACAGGGCCUUUGCAUAUGCGCCAACCAAAGAGCCAAGUGCAAACCAGCAUGUGCCUUGUGAAUGAACGCCUGCAAAACAAACCGCGUACACAAUGGCCACCCAACACAGUGCAGGAAAAAAGAUUGGAACUAAAAGAAGAGUUUUCACUGUGUGAUAGGACUCUAGGCAAUUUUUAUCACCUUCUUUUGGUUACUAUACAUUGUCCAAUUUUUGUGCAAUGAGCUUCUUUUUUGUUUUUACUGCCGCAUCUGUGGCAUAUGGAGACUCCCAGUCUGGGGUGGAAUUAGAGCUGUAGCUGCCAGUCUACGCCACAGCCAUAGCAACAGGGGAUCCGAGCUUCCCUGCAAGCUUCCCUGCAGCUUGUGGCAAUGCCGAAUCCUUAGCCCACUGAGUGAGUCCAGGGAUCAAACCUGAAUCCUCAUGGAUACUAGCUGGGCCCUUAACCCGCUGAGCCACAAUGGGAACUCCAGAAAUGUCCUCAUGAACGGUAGUACUCCAUGACAUUACUCCUGUCCAAGGAACUUGUUCACUUUGCUUUGAAAGAGGAGAAACAUAUAGGGCCAACAGAUGGAUCUCCAUGGACGUUCAGCAAGCCACCAUUUGCAGGGGACAUGGGAGCAGGAAGUUACUCCCGGUACUGCUAAGGAACGAUUUACAGGACUGACACUAAGAUUCGGCUCUGUGCCCAGAUGGCAAAGUUUACCUUUGCCUUGUGGGUUCUUUUCAAGGUUUCUAGUCAUUUUCUCAUAUGAAGUUAAGUCUCUUCCAAGAAAACUGCAUUAAGAUCAUCAUGAAGGCUUCCAAUGGAACAUUAUUCAGCCAUAAAAAGAACAACAUAAUGCCACUUGCAGCAACAUGGAUGGAACUAAAGACUCUCAUACUAAGUAAAGUCAGUCAGAGAAAGACAAACAUAUGAUAUAACUUAUAUGUGGAAUCUAAUAUAUGGCACAAAUAAACCUUUCCACAGAAAAGAAACUCAUAAACUUGGAGAACAGACUUGGGGUUGCCAAGGGGGAGGGGGAGGGAGUGGGAUGGACUGGGAAUCUGGGGUUAAUAGAUGCAAACUAUUGCAUUUGGAGUGGAUAAGCAAUGAGAUCCUGCUAUACAGCACUGGGAACUAUAUCUAGUCACUUGUGAUGGAGCAGGAUGGAGGAGAAUAUGAGAAAAAGAAUGUAUGUGUGACUGGGUCACUUUGCUGUACAGUAGAAAAUUGACAGAACGCUGUAAACCAACAAUAAUGGAAAAAAUAAAAUCAUUUAAAAAAUAAAUAAAAAUAAAGCAGACUGGAAAAAAAAAAAGAUCAUCGCGAAGAUUUCAAGUGAUCAUCUGGGCGGGCCAUUUAUUCUCUCACCUGAAGUGAUGAUUGCCUCUUUGCGACAUGAGAAUUGCUUGCUGGAGAUGUGAUUAUCAUGUCACCACCAGAGGAUCAAGCCUUGAGAGGGAGAGGCUUUGUGGGAGCAAAUGAACUUCCAGGAAACCAGGAUUCAAUUUUCAUGCAAAUGUCAAAGGUAAUCAGGAGAAAACAGGAAAGGCUGACAAUUUCACUUUCAUGCUACAUCUGUUAUUCUCACCACGGGGGUUCACAAUCUUUUCUAUGAGCUGCAAGCUGCCUUUCCAUUUCCUCCAGCCUCCAAGCAACAUGUUCUAUAAUCAUUAACUCAGCAAUGGGACACACAGGCACCUCACUUUCCUUUCUGGUGUAGGAGGGCACGGAGUGGGCUGAAUCAGGGGAUGCAAGCUGGAGAAAGCCAUGCAUCUUUAAGGCUAGCAUUCACUGUUUAAAGAUAAAAUGUCACCUGCUAUAUUUAAUUGAGCUGGUGUGUUUCCUAGAUGGCAGAGGGCUCUAAGGAUUUCCCUGCCGAAAGCAUUUUAUUAAUUUUGUUUAUUCCCUUUUCAGUACAAGCACACCACCUAUUUUCUUCCUCUGUAACUUACAUAUUGUUAACAUCGUUGCCUAAAGGGUAAAAACCUCAAUAAGGAGGGUUUAGGCUAUGAAUUCCAAAAGACUUGGAGUUCCCGUUAUGGAUCAGCGGACACAAUUCUGACUAGGAUCCAUGAGGUUGUGGGUUCAAUCCCUGGCCUCACUCAGUGGGUUAAGGAUCUGGCGUUGCCAUGAGUUGUGGUGUAUGUCGCAGACAUGGCUUGGAUCCCAUGUUGCUGUGGCUGUGGUAUACACCGGCAGCUACAGCUCUGACUUGACCCCUAGCCUGGGAUCCUCCAUAUGCCACCAGGGCAACCCUAAAAAGCAAAACAAAACAAAACAAACAACAAGAAAGACUCUUGUUUUCACCUUGUUUCUUGAAAAUAAUUUUACAGGUGAGGGUUCUGGGUAGAUGGGCUCCAGUUAAUUGACAUUUUAUUAUAUUUGUCCCUCAGAUUAAGUCUAAGACAUUGUUUUCGCUUAGAGGUCAGACUUAACAAAUGCAAGAAAGGAACAUGGGUUGUAAAUUUGACCUCGCUGACGGAGGAGCUGGAUCAAGUGACACCAGGGUUGGCCAGUCGCUGCUUUUGGGGAAUGUAGGUUUCCUGCUAAUAGCAUUUUCUCUCCUCAAACCUUUGAGUUCCUUCCAAAGAUCAUUUUAUGGCUGCCCUUCCUAUAACCCUCUGUCAGGCUUGGCUAGGUUCUGAUGUGAUUACAGACAGCGAUAAGUCUCCAUGGCCUGGCACUUAGAAGCUAAUUUGUUGCUCAUCCAGUGUCCUCUAUGGCCCAAAGGUGGGUGUCGUCCAUCUAGAACUAAGGGGUCAAGACGUUAUUAGACUUGUGGCUCUGCCCUCUUCCCAUAGGCCCCCUUGGCCCCCCAUGGAGAGGCAAGGCUUUUCCCCACCAUGGCUGGGAAGUGAUGUUCUUAUUACCUUGAGCAUAAAUCUUGGCCAGCCUAGACAUGGGGCUGCACUCAGCUACAGGAUGGUGAGAGGUGUGCUUUUCUGUGUUAGCAUCAGCAAGGAUGUGGAAGCAGACUUGGUUGACACCAAAUACUAUCUCUUCUACUGCAGUCUCUUUAAAUGAUGUGAGGAGAAGUAAAUGUAUUUUGUUGAGGUCUGAGACCUUGACAUAAGACAUACAUAAAAUAACAGACUAUAUAGACUAUAAAAUAUGAACUAUAUGGGGAGUUCCCAUCUUGGUGCAAUGGAAAUGAAUCUGACUAGGAACCAUGAGGUUGCGUGUUCAAUCCCUGGCCUCGCUCAGUGGGUAGAGGAUCCAGCAUUGCUGUGAGCUAUGGUGUAGGUCCCAGACACGGCUCAGAUCCCGUGUUGCUGUGGCUGUGGUGGAGGCCGGCAGCAACAGCUCCGAUUAGACCCCUAGCCUGGGAACCCCCAUAUGCCGCAGGUGUA
rnacentral:lncRNA from 1 species